CCUUUCAAAGGAACCGUAGUAUGAAUACUGGAAAAUGACAAAAUUAAAGAUGGACCUACCAAACCAAUUUGUGUGUGUGUGUGUGUGUGUGUGUGUGUGUGUGUGUGUAACCCACUUACAACACCUUUCAUCCACAGAACUAAAGGCACCAUGGAAAGAACCUCUGAGGAGAAAAACUAAGGGACUUGUGAUAACUUCCAAAGAACAAAGCCCUCACAGGCGAGAGUGAGGGCCUCAGCACAGUCUUUUCACAGAGAUGAAGAAUCGGAAGUCUAACCGGUGGCUCACCUCAGGAGGUGAUUUUAAUUGUCAUUUUCCAUAUGUUUUGUGGAGAAUUAAAAUGAUGAAAGGUAUUUCAGACGGCAGUAAUCAUGGCCACGUAACUUGGUGUUCUGGAGCUCUGGCAACUGACAAACCCCAUUUCAAACCCACUUUGACAGACUGUCGCUUGGAAUACAUUGGGAGUAUCUUGUCCUUUGUAGGUGCCUCACAAACAUUUAUGAAAAUAAUGUCGGAAAAUGAGUUAGAGAGAUCUAUUAAGGUGUGGGUUGUUUGUGUUUCAGAAACCUUGAUGCUGAUCCUAAAACACUAAAUAACACUCCCGAGUUCUCACAUGUAUCAGGCACCAUGCCAAGUGUCUUACCACAGUGCUUUCCCAGGUGUGGUUCCCUGACCCGCAGCCUGGGCACCACCUGGGAACUUGUCAAGAAUGCAGAUUCUCUGGGGGCGCCUGGGUGGCUCGGUUGGUUUGGCAUCUGACUUCAGCUGAGGUCAUGAUCUCACAGUUCGUGGGUUCGAGCCCCGCGUCGGGCUCUGUGCCGACAGCUCGGAGCCUGGAGCCUGCUUCGGAUUCUGUGUCUCCCUCUCCCUCUGUCCCUCCCCCACUCAGGCUAUGUGUCUCUUCCUCUCAAAAAUGAAUAAAUAUUAGAAAUUAAAAUUAAAAAAAAGAAUACAGAUUCUCUAGCUCUACCCAGACCUAAUGAGUCAGAAAUGUGGGGCAUGAACCCGGCAAUCUGUGUUUUAACAACCUUCCAGGCGAUCCUGAUGAACAAUAAACUUGGAGAACCACUGCUUGA